UACUUCGUAAACGAAGGAUACUCGUGAUUCUAUGUUCAAAACAGAAAUAUCGAAUGGUUGAUAAAUAACUCCAAGAAAUAACACUAAUACUCAAGACUGAAUAUAUCAGUUAUGUUUUGAAUGGAAUAGCCAGCGUUAAUGGAAAGCAUAAGCAUAUAUCUAGCUUUUUGCGGAUUUUGGAAAUAAGCAGGAAUUCCGUUGUAAUAAUAGUCAGAAAAUCCAUCCAUUGUUCUGUGGCUGUACACAACCGGAAUACUUUGGUUACUAAUCAAUCCAUCAAUCACUUCAUUACCAGGAUCCGUCCAGGAAGCUGCACCCAUGCCAGCUAAGACUAAACCUUUGGCUCCCAGAUCUACUGCAGCCUUUGCCAAGUUAGGAUUCAGUCCCUGAUAUCCAUACAAAAUUUCAACUGCUGGUAAUUCAGUAGUGUUGCUAACGUCAAAAUGAACUUUACCAGUUGGUGUAGCAGGGCUAUAGAAGAAAUGUGGUCUUUGAUCAAGAAUCAUACCAAGGAAUCCUGCCUCAUAUGACUUGAAGGUAUCAAGCAUAUUUCCAUUUGUCUUUGUAGUAUAAAAGGCAGAUCCAAUACGAUCAUUUAAUAAGAUCAUAGUACCGCGACCAAUAGAUCGAUUAGAGGCCGCUACCACUACAGCAUUUAACAAGUUCAUAGGGCCAUCAGCGCUAAUUGCAGUAGAAGGUCUCAUUGCUCCAACAACUACAAUGGGCUUUGUAGUAUUGACAGUCAUGUCCAAAAAUAUCGCAGUUUCUUCAAGUGAAUCUGUACCAUGUGUAACAACAAUACCAUGAACAUCGGGUUUGGCAACUUCGGCUAGAAUCAACUGAGUAAGAUUCAAAACGUUAGCAGGUGUCAGUUCUUCACUGCCAACAUUAGUAACUUGGACUCCACGAAUGUUUGAAAAGUUCUUGAUAGCAGGAACUGCAUCAACCAGUGUUGCUAUUCCUACAGAGCCAGCGGCAUAGUCAACUGUUUCAGUGCUGGAUGAAGCAUAUCCAGCGAUAGUUCCUCCCAUUGCAAAAAUUGUAACAUUGGGAAGUGAAGCAUUAAAUGAAAUGAAGUCCGAAACAUUAGAAGAGCGCUUCUGAAACAACAAUGGCUGACAUAAUGCCACAGAAAAGAAUAGGAAACUGAUGAUAGAGCUCCACAUUUUGUAUAAAACUCAGUACAAUGAGAAAAUCACUUGCAUAAAUUGAUCUUUAUAUAUAGAAGAAAAAAAUCGACGGUGGAUUCAUUAUCUUAUCUUUGAUUCCCUUAGCUUGAAAGCGGAUACGAUGUCUUUUUGUUUCCAUUUUGGUCAUGUAGUUGCAAUGGAAACUCGACGAACGAAAAGGUGGGGACUCAAAAACCGGAAGGCAUUUUAUUUGAAUGAGGGUACUACUCCAUAAUUGUUCAACAAAGCAUUUUAAGUUGUAUGAACUGACGAAAUUGUAGUUCAGCGGAAAUUGCUUAGUAGCAUUGUGGAGAUUACCUGACUUAUUUCUUUCAACACCUCGUUAUUCUCUGCUGUAUGACGAACAAAUGGCUCAUCGACACACACUCCCUUCAAAUUCUAGCAAAUCCUCGGAUGAUUUCCCGAUUUACGAUAAUAAAUGUUUGACUUACAUCCUCUAUCUGAUAUGUAUGCAUAGGUGUGCGGCCAACAUCGUAAGCAGAAGUACGCAAUAAAGGUUGCGGUUACACGGAACCGGAAUCACCGACAGUUUUAUUUCCACCAUAAGAUGGAAAAUUAUUUGUAGAUAGCCAUAUAACUAAAUCGGAUGUUUUCCGUUUAGGUGUAUUCAUGUUUUACUUCUGUAUUAAUUCUGGUUUUCAACUAGGAAAGCAGUUGAAUUGAUCGGCCGGUUCUGUAGCCUUAUCAGCUGAUCAUCAACAGCACUUGUAGUGAAACGUGUGUGGAACUAAAUAUUUCAUUUAAGAUUCGUGGAUUGAGGUAGUUUCUUGUAUUCAAAAGGGGAGUGUUCUAAGUAUGUCUAUAUCAGUAUUUCCAACUUAAAUAUAACAUAGGUACAUGUAGCGUCGAGAAAGCUUGCUAAUGCUAGUGUAGACAAAGUUACUCUAGUUCAACUAAUUUCGUUUCAAUUGCUUCAAAAAU